rnacentral:tRNA from 1 species
GAAAUAUCAUAUAAAGCUUCUAACUUUAAAAAAAGCGAUUUUUAUUCGUUUAUAUUUCU